rnacentral:rRNA from 1 species
GAUGAACGCUGGCGGCGUGCUUAACACAUGCAAGUCGAACGGAAAGGCCACAGCUUGCUGUGGUACUCGAGUGGCGAACGGGUGAGUAACACGUGGGUGAUCUGCCCUGUACUUCGGGAUAAGCUUGGGAAACUGGGUCUAAUACCGGAUAGGAAUCACAUGUGGGUGUGUGGUUGGAAAGCUUUUGCGGUAUGGGAUGAGCUCGCGGCCUAUCAGCUUGUUGGUGGGGUAAUGGCCUACCAAGGCGUCGACGGGUAGCCGGCCUGAGAGGGUGGACGGCCACAUUGGGACUGAGAUACGGCCCAGACUCCUACGGGAGGCAGCAGUGGGGAAUAUUGCACAAUGGGCGCAAGCCUGAUGCAGCGACGCCGCGUGGGGGAUGACGGCCUUCGGGUUGUAAACUCCUUUCGUCAGGGACGAAGCGAAAGUGACGGUACCUGGAUAAGAAGCACCGGCUAACUACGUG